UACGAUCUCCAUUUUACAUGUGAGGAAACUGAGGCAAAGCUAGUUUGUGGUAGAGCCAGCUCCCAAGAGAUCUUGGACUCAAGAAAUGAGAAAAGAGGUUGUCCAGAUCUGGGCUGGGACUCCCGUCCCUGCCUCCUCCUCUAAAGCAGCCAACAGAGUGGCAGCCCAUUCCCAGAAAGAUCAGAAGUGCUGUUUCUCUGAAUCUUUUGAGCUUCAAGCAAGCAAAUAUGCCUAAGACAGGUGUAAGCAGACACUCAUGAAUGAUAGAGACAAAGGAAGAGGGAAGGAGGGAACGGCCACAUUAAAAAUUAUAACCUACAUCAACUUUGUGCUUCUCUGGAUCACUCUGAAUAUUCACUGGGAUAAAAUAUGCUCUAAAAUAUGUCAAUGCCAAGGUGAUUAAAACGCCAUUCUGUACCCAUCAGUGUACAGAGAGGAGAGGGAACAGCAACCAGGAUGUCAAGUUUUCAGAAAACAAUACAAAAUUAAUAAGUAGAGUUACAAAACCCAGAAUCAUCAAAUAUUAGAGUUGCAUGUACCUCUGGGAGUUAUCUUGAUUCUCCCCUUUAUUUGACUGAUGAGAAAACUGAGAUUUGGUGAGGGCAGGUGCUGUGGCUGGGCGUCAGAGGGCAGCCCCAAAGCCAGGGUUCUGACCCCUACUCUGGUUCUCAUUUUGCUCCAUAUGCUGCCCUUGUGAAACUUGAAAGGAACCGAAGUCCUUAAUGUAGCACUCCUUCCAAACUCCUUGAAUGGCUCCAAAGCCAAGGUUGGUGCGGCAGCACCGGAAGGGAGGUGGGAAGAGGCAGCCAGCCACAGACUCAGUAAAUAAGUCUCGGACAUAAUCACUGUGCAGAGAAGUCCCAGCUCUCCAGCUCCCUCAGAGAGUCAGAAACAGAGAGGACAAGUGACUGAAUGGAAGGGACCCUGAAGAAGGCUCCCUAGGAUGGGUCAGGGGGUGUGGGCAUGUCAGCUCGCCUCUCACUGCCUUCCUGCCUUGGGUACCCAAGGACGCUACCAGAAAAUAACUUCUCUGAGGCACAAGCUGCAGUGGCCGGAAGUAGAAGUGGAAUUUCAGGCAGGAUUCAGUUGUGAUUUUUCCUCCAGCUCAAAACCUUCACAGGGGCCCUUGGCCAAGCAUCCCAGAUCCACCAGUUGUCUGCCUGUACCCUGCCCAUAAAUUUUAUUUUCUAACACUGCCCUGAUGUCAGCACCCAUCCUAUACUUUGGAUUAUUCUGCCCAACCGAUAGAUACCCUGGGAAAAGUGCCAGUGACAGCUCGAGAGGCCAGCCCAGACAUAGUCCUUGGCAGUGGAGGAGGAAGAAUUUCCAGGCUACAGGGAGCAGUCCUGCAGGGGAAGACAGGCCUGAGCAAGGAAGCAUACACCAGGACUUCCAAAUCCCAUCAGCAGGCUCACCUCUACACAUGACAUCACCAUGAUAGUGACAUCAACAAUGGAGAGGCAUGGCCCAGCCCCCAGCUCUGAGCUGGGUCCUCUAGUGACCAGAGUAGUCAAAGCCAGCUGGAGAGCAAGCAUUGCCCUGAGCUGUGGCAAGAGCAGUGUCUGGCCAUAGAGGACAAGAUGGAAGGACCAGAAUUUCUGGUUUCCUUUCCACAAAGAGAUUGGAACCAAGAUUACUAUCAUAGAAUGAGUAAACCCUGAGGCUUAUCACAAGAAUGAGGGAUGCUGGGAGCAAAAACAGACAUAAUCUCAAUAGUGGAAGAUAAAAGAAAUGUGAGCUUAUCUUCUACUCAAACCGGUAAUGCAGCGGUGACCCUGCCAUUGAAGUUAUAGCCACCCACUGGUUCUGGCUUUAACUUUGCUUAAACCAACUUGCAAUAAACUGGAGAUCAUCAAGGUAUUUACCAGGAAAAUCAUCCACUGGGUAACCUACUAUGCAUUGGGCUUACAAAAUUGUCUUUAUUUCCUGAACAGAACAGGAUGUGUGAAGAUACCAAAAAGAAUGAUCGCCCUGCCAUUUCCAUUUAGGAUUGGUGACCAAGACUGUCAGGUGUCAGCCCCCGCAAACUGCUUGGAAUCUGGAGGACCAUGUUAACUACACCCUCCUGAAAGGGGAAAGGUCACAGCCCUGCAGUUUGAAAAACACAGCACUAAAACUUUCCAAGUUAACCUUCCAAGUUGACCUUUCAGAGGCUGAUGUUUAGUACCUGGGCAGGUUAAAGAGAAGGUGAAGCGAAGGGCAUCUGCUCCAAUAUGCACGGCAUUGAGAGUUUAGAGGCUCAAGAAGUUGAUUCUAAUAGGACUGAGCAUCUCAAGGGAGCACCACGCAUUCCUUCCAGCCACUGACCUGCUCCACACUCCCUAGGCUGGUUUUCCUUCCUGGCAGGAAUGCACAUUGAUAGGAAAUGUGGGUUCCAAGGAAACAAAGCAGAUUUUGACCUCCACAAAUGCACAGAGAUGGACAUGUGAGAACAUUUAUUCCGGCAUUGUCUGUGAUGGCCAAGAUGAAAACAUUACAAAUAGCCAUCCCUAAGUGAACUGCAGUACAAUGUAUCCAGUAAUAAUAAUGUGGGUAUCUAACUACAGAAAGAUUUCCAUGACAAACUAAGUGCAAAACUCAACAGCCCUUCAGUUCACCAAUAAAAUUCCAUUUUUUAUUUUUUAAAAAUUAGUAUGUGUAUAAAUGCAUAAAAUAUGGAAAACUAUACUCAAAACUAUCUUCAGGGAAAUGAUUAUUGGAGACUUAUUUUCUAAAUCAUAUAUUUCCACAGCACUGGAACUUUUCCCCAAGAGUACAAUUUACUUUUGAAAUAGGAAAAAGCAAUAAUUUUUUGCUUUAAAACAGUAAAACACAAAAGGAAGCUAUUUAUAAGGUGGCAGCGUGUGUUCCUUUGAAGUCACAAUAGCGGCCCUCCAGCAGGUGAUGUGUGCUUUCAACAGUCUGAGAUAGAAACCAUUUCUAGAAGUUUGUGCUCUGAGGCAACAUCUCAACAUAUAGAACAUAUAGAAAUGAUGAAAUACAAGUCAAGAAAAUGUAUAAACCACAGGAAGUCUCGGAAACUAGAUAAAUGUCCCUAUACCCUAGAAACAGAAGAGAAACCCCUCAUCAGGGAAGAAGACUGAGGCCAGGGCGUCCAGGCCCAGGUUCUGGGAGCAGAUAUAGGUGGCUGAGUUUGACUCCCACAAAGUCCAGGGAACUAAAAAAAGGUAGGAAGAGGACAGAGUAACCUCAACUACUGGACAUGGGGACUGGAGGCCAGCUCCCCAGCUGGUGAAGAAAGCCUGGAAAAAGCUGUCUGUCUGGGGGCGUUUAUUCAUUCUCAUUUUUUAAAUCAGGUUUUUACUCUGGCUACAUUUUAAAAUCACCUGGGGACUUAAAAAAAAUACACACACACACACACACACACACACACACACACACACACACACUGUUGCCCUAGAAAUUCUGAUUUAAUUUUUAAAUUCUUUCUUUCUCUUCUUUUUUGAAUUAGUUUUGGUGUUUAUUUAUUUUUGAGAGAGAGAGAGACACACAGCAUGAACGAGGGAGGGACAGAAAGAGAGGGAGACACAGAAUCUGAAGCAGGCUCCAGGCUCUGAGCUGUCAGCACAGAGCCAGAUGCAGGGCUCAAACUCAUGAAUGGUGAGAUCAUGACCUGAGCCAAAGUUGGACGCUCAACCAACUGAGCCACCCAGGUGCCCCUCUCUUCCUUUUUUUUAAAGGCUUUUUUAGAAAUUCUAAUACAUGUCCUAGAUUGACACCUCAUUGAACCUUUGGGCUUAGGUAGGGCUCAAAGUAUCAGACACGACCUCUGUCCAGGUACUCAGUCAAGGAAGCAGCCAGCUUAGAGAUGAGAUCUGGGAUUUUCCCAUUCUGACCUCAGAGCAGACAUUUCUGAUCAUCUGAGGCUUGCUUUGGGACUGGCGGCCCUUGGCAGGAGGCCUAACACAGCUGGUCAGGGUGGGAUAAAGAGACAGAGAGACAGACACACAGGAAAGAAAUGUCUAUUCAUAGGUAAAUGGAUGAAUCUAUGAUCUACGUGAUAUAUUCAUAGAAUAGAAUAUAACAGUGAAAUUUAACAACCCAGCAUUAAUAUGACAUAAACAGAGCAGUGAGUUAUAAAAGCAACUUGCAGCAUGGCAAGUACAUUACAACAUCAUUUAUUUAAAUUUUAAGUUAUAGGAAACAGGGAGUAUAUAUUUUGCGGUUAAAUCUGUAUACACUAUAACUAUAAAAAUAUUCAUAAGAAUUAAAUCCUAUUUAAGGGCCGUGGUUGCCUUUGGAGAGGAUUUGAAGGGGCAUACAGGGAACAAUAGACACAAACUCAGAUGAGCCUCAAAGGCAUCAUGCUGCAUAUAUGAAGCCCAUGUUGAGAGGUCACAUCCCUGGGGUGUCUGGGUGGCUCAGGGGGUUAAGCAUCUGACUUCGAUUCAAGUCAUGCUCUUGUGGUCUG